GACGAACGCUGGCGGCGUGCUUAACACAUGCAAGUCGAACGGAAAGGCCCUGCUUUUGUGGGGUGCUCGAGUGGCGAACGGGUGAGUAACACGUGAGUAACCUGCCCUUGACUUUGGGAUAACUUCAGGAAACUGGGGCUAAUACCGGAUAGGAGCUCCUGCUGCAUGGUGGGGGUUGGAAAGUUUCGGCGGUCGGGGAUGAACUCGCGGCUUAUCAGCUUGUUGGUGGGGUAGUGGCUUACCAAGGCUUUGACGGGUAGCCGGCCUGAGAGGGUGACCGGCCACAUUGGGACUGAGAUACGGCCCAGACUCCUACGGGAGGCAGCAGUGGGGAAUAUUGCACAAUGGGCGGAAGCCUGAUGCAGCAACGCCGCGUGCGGGAUGACGGCCUUCGGGUUGUAAACCGCUUUCGCCUGUGACGAAGCGUGAGUGACGGUAAUGGGUAAAGAAGCACCGGCUAACUACGUG
rnacentral:rRNA from 1 species